GUGUGUGUGUGUGUGUGUGUAAACUUUCCCCAAAAGCCCAGGUCCUUCCAGUUACCCACAGAGAGCCUCAGAAGAGCUGCCCACCUCUUUUCUACCAAGCUCCACUUUGGACCUGGCUUUCUGCUUCUCAAGUCCCAUGUUCUUACCUAAAACAGUGAAGGGGUGUGUGUAUGUCAAGUCUAACACAUGCUGGGGGCCCUCGAAGUUUCUGAGUUUCUCCCAUACUAAGGCAGGAAUAGUAAGGGAAUAAACUUUGUUUUACCUGUCAGCAACUUCUCAGUAGCCAGAUCAGGGACCCCUCCUCUUCAGAACCCUGGGCUGGGACAGAAAGGUGAACCACCUCCAGGGAGGAGGUCCCUCAUGCCAAGGGAUGUGCACCUCCUUGUGUGAGCCUGCUGCCCCAGCUGCCCUGCAGAUACUUACCUGCCUCCCUAACCUUCCUCCCUUCCCAUCUUCCUGGCUGUUGUGAGACAGGGAAUGCCAAGGAAGAACUCCAGUGUCUGGACCCUAUCCAGAUAAUAUUUUUUAGACUCCUCUGCUCCCUGAUGACCUGCAUUAGGGCAAAAGAAAAUUGCAAGGUCUUUUUUUUUUAAAGGGUCAGAGUUUUAAAAAACAAAAGCAUCCUUCCCUAGAAAUUUUUGUGACUUGUUUGCACUUGUGCCUGUUUUAAAUUAAACUAAAUGUUCGAA
rnacentral:lncRNA from 1 species